rnacentral:rRNA from 1 species
UUCUACGACCAUGCCACCCUGAACAUGCCUGAUCUCGUCUGAUCUCGGAAGCUAAGCAGGGUCGGGCCUGGUUAGUACUUGGAUGGGAGACCACCUAGGAAGACCAGAUGCUGUAGGCA